ensembl:snRNA U6 U6 spliceosomal RNA
UUGCUCUCACUUUGGCAGCACAUAUACUGAAAUUGUAACGAUACAGAGAAGUUUGUCAUGGCCCCUGCACAAGGAUGACACACAAAUUCAUGAAGCAUUCCAUAUAUUU